rnacentral:rRNA from 1 species
GACGAACGCUGGCGGCGUGCCUAAUACAUGCAAGUCGAGCGAAUCACUAGGAGCUUGCUCCUGGUGAUUAGCGGCGGACGGGUGAGUAACACGUGGGCAACCUGCCUGUAAGACUGGGAUAACACCGGGAAACCGGUGCUAAUACCGGAUAAUCCUUUUCCUCUCAUGAGGGAAAGCUGAAAGUCGGUUUCGGCUGACACUUACAGAUGGGCCCGCGGCGCAUUAGCUAGUUGGUGAGGUAACGGCUCACCAAGGCGACGAUGCGUAGCCGACCUGAGAGGGUGAGCGGCCACACUGGGACUGAGACACGGCCCAGACGCCUACGGGAGGCAGCAGUAGGGAAUCUUCCACAAUGGACGAAAGUAUGAUGGAGCAACGCCGCGUGAGCGAUGAAGGCCUUCGGGUCGUAAAGCUCUGUUGUUAGGGAAGAACAAGUACCGGAGUAACUGCCGGUACCUUGACGGUACCUAACCAGAAAGCCACGGCUAACUACGUGCCAGCCGCCGCCGUAAGAC